rnacentral:rRNA from 1 species
CGGGGAGGUAGUGACGAAAAAUAACGAUACGGGACUCAUCCGAGGCCCCGUAAUCGGAAUGAGUACACUUUAAAUCCUUUAACAAGGAUCCAUUGGAGGGCAAGUCUGGUGCCAGCAGCCGCGGUAAUUCCAGCUCCAAUAGCGUAUAUUAAAGUUGUUGCGGUUAAAAAGCUCGUAGUUGAAUCUGUGUGUCACAGUGUCGGUUCACCGCUCGCGGUGUUUAACUGGCAUUAUGUGGUACGUCCUACCGGUGGGCUUAGCUCUUCGGGGCGGUCCAAUUCCCAUCGCGGUGCUCUUCACUGAGUGUCGAGGUGGGCCGGUACGUUUACUUUGAACAAAUUAAAGUGCUCAAAGCAGGCUACCUUCGCCUGAAUACUCUGUGCAUGGAAUAAUGAAAUAGGACCUCGGUUCUAUUUUGUUGGUUUUCGGAACCCCGAGGUAAUGAUUAAUAGGGACAGAUGGGGGCAUUCGUAUUGCGACGUUAGAGGUGAAAUUCUUGGAUCGUCGCAAGACGGACAGAAGCGAAAGCAUUUGCCAAAAAUGUUUUCAUUAAUCAAGAACGAAAGUUAGAGGUUCGAAGGCGAUCAGAUACCGCCCUAGUUCUAACCAUAAACGAUGCCAGCCAGCGAUCCGCCGAAGUUCCUAAGAUGACUCGACGGGCAGCUUCCGGGAAACCAAAGCUUUUGGGUUCCGGGGGAAGUAUGGUUGCAAAGCUGAAACUUAAAGGAAUUGACGGAAGGGCACCACCAGGAGUGGAGCCUGCGGCUUAAUUUGACUC